AUACCCUUUCUAUUGGUUGACAGAGUACUUUAAGAGGCUAGCUCAAAAGGGUAGCCUACGUCCUUAUAAAACUCAGAGAAGAGAUCGUAAAACUCUUCUUUGGAUCCUGUCUGGAAUCUUAGUA
ensembl:snoRNA